rnacentral:tRNA from 1 species
ACUAACGUAGCUUAAUUAAAGUGUGAUAUUGAAGAUAUUAAGAUAGAUAUAAAUGUCUCGUGGUUA